CCCUUAGCGGUGCGCACUUCAGCCACGGCACCCUGGCCCCCAGGCCCCGAGCAACCCAAAUCUAUGUUUUCCACUUCCUAAUCCUCCUCCUCUCUCUUUCUUGAUUAACAAUUAAUCUUCCAAUAAUCCCAUCGUCAUCAUCAUCAUCACAAAUUCAAAAUCAAAAGCCAUUAAACAAACCCCACCCCCAUUACCGUCCCCACCGCCAAUCAUAUCCUCUCAAGCACUCAACUCCCAUCGAAAACCAAAACCCAAGAAGAAGUUGUUGUUGUUGUGUCGUCGUCGUCCAAUUCUUUUUUAAUUUUUUUAUCUACCUGUUUUUUAAGCUUCGAAUUUCUAGGGUUCUGUUUGGAAUUCUUUUUUUUGGGGGGGUGAGGGUUUGUCUGGUUUUGUGCUAAAAUGGCUCAUCAGUCGUCGACGAGGUACGUGGGGGAGUACGUGGUGGGCCGGCAAAUCGGGUCGGGUUCGUUCUCGGUGGUGUGGCACGCGAGGCACAGGGUCCAAGGGACGGAGGUGGCGAUUAAGGAGAUCGUUACGGGACGGUUGAACAAGAAGUUGCAGGAGUCGCUCAUGUCCGAGAUUGUUAUCUUGAAGCAGAUUAAUCAUCCCAACAUCAUUCGCUUGCACGACAUCAUUGAGGAAACUGGAAGAAUACAUCUUGUGUUGGAGUUUUGUAGAGGGGGUGACCUUUCUAUGUAUAUUCAACAACGUCAAGGAAGAGUUCCAGAAGCUACAGCUAAGUACUUUAUGCAUCAGCUAGCGGCUGGUCUACAAAUCCUUCGUGACAAUAAUCUUAUACAUAGAGAUCUAAAGCCACAGAAUCUCCUUCUCUCCACAAAUAGUGAUAAUGCAGUCCUGAAGAUUGCAGAUUUUGGAUUUGCAAGAUCUCUGCAACCUAGAGGCCUUGCAGAAACCUUGUGUGGUUCACCACUAUACAUGGCUCCCGAAAUAAUGCAACUUCAGAAGUAUGAUGCUAAGGCAGAUCUCUGGAGUGUUGGUGCCAUUUUAUUUCAGCUUGUGACAGGGAAAACCCCAUUUACAGGAAGCAAUCAAAUACAGUUGCUCCAGAAUAUUGUAAAAUCAACCGAGCUGCAAUUUCCUCCAGAUAGAAGGAAUUUGAGUUCGGAGUGCAUUGAUUUGUGUCGAAAAUUGCUGCGCCGUAAUCCAGUGGAGCGGCUGACAUUCGAAGAGUUUUUUAACCACCCUUUUCUGUCUCAGAGGCAGUCAAAUGAAUUGUUGAGGAAUAGAAGGUCACCAAAAACAAUAGUUGGUUUUCCUUUUUCUGAACGCAGUCCAGUGAGGAAUGCAGAAGAAGGUUCCCAAGAAGAUAAUCUGCCUUUUAGUCUUGACGAUGUUUCCAAUGGAUCUGAUAGGAGCCCAUCCUUUGUUAGGAAGCCCUCGAUGAAGUCCACUGUUGGAUUUUCUGUCGGCGACAGAAAGGAAGUGCCUACCACUUCAAACAAUAUGGAUCUUUCUUCCAAGUUUAGUAGUGUCGCACAUAAACCUGAAAAUACUAGUUUAAGGCUUGACAGUCGUAUACCUUCUGAAGGAAAUCUAAAAGAAUCUUUCAAGUCUGCAGACCGAAGGCCAAUGGACACGCAUCCAAGAGUUGUGGAUUCAUUGGAGUUGUUUGAUCAGGAAUAUGUUAUUGUCUCUGGACCCCCUAUGGAUGUGUCAUCUUCUCCGCCUUGUGCUUCCAAGCUGAGCCAUUUGCCGUGCAAUUCAGGGAGUCCCCAACAAGAAUUUGCAAACAUGAACUCUGCCCCAAGUGCCCCAAUGCCCAUCAUUGGUGCAACAGGGAGUAGAUUUGGGUGCAGUGGAAGCUUGGAUAGCCACAGCUCUGCUCCUUCUGGUACCUCACAGGGAUCCAUGGAAAUAGGAGAUGCGUUAGAGCAGCCAUCACCUCACUGCAUAACCAGGAUUAAGUCGUUGAAGCGGUGUGCAUCUGCCGUCACGGAAUUAGUGAAUGAAAAGAUGGAGUCCAGAAGACAACUUGAAGCAUUCUCAAUUCAGCUUGUGACACUUGCAAUUUGGAAGCAAGCUCUUCACAUUUGCCACACGCAAGCUAUUGAAGGAAGCCCAACUCAAGAGAUGGCCAGAUUGAGGGAGAGCCCUAACCAGGAACAUGGGAGUCUUGAUAUUGCCAGCACUCAUGGACCGCAGGAGUUAUGCUCUCAGAUUGAGAGGGAAUUUCUUAAUGAAGUUGGGAAUGCUGAGGAACUUGCCAAGCUUAUUGAGCCUGGAAAUACGGAGAUGCCAGAUGCCAUGGAGACCAUAUAUCAGUCUGCCCUUGCUUUGGGUAGACAUGGCGCUGUAAGUAUUUGUUUUAUAUCUUGGACUACCAAUGGUAUGCAUUUCCAAACCAUUUGCAGGAGUAAGCCCAGUGGACUGGUAGACAAGAAUAAGAUAGCUUACAACCAUUCAUUAUUAUCUAUGUUAGAACUAUAAUGAACUCUAGCUGUAAUUCUUUGGAUUGAUCAGAGAUAAUCAGGCCAAACAUUUUAUCCUUAAUGUCCCGGGUGACUAGCUCGAAACGAGAAGACUUUUUAUUUUUAUUUUUUGUUAAGUUUGCUUUGUUUGUUUGGUUUCCUUCAGACACAGAACUUCUUGUUUUGAAAUUUGAAUAUGACCAAAGCUUUCAUGGCAAUCAUGAAAUCCUGACUUCACAGUUCUACCUUGAGAUCACUUUGGAAUCUACUUACUGGGCUGCGAGGCCCAUUUUUGAAAAGGGAAAAUCAAAGGUUGACGAGUACAUGGGCGAUACAGAAAAUGCAGCUGUUCGCUAUUCAAAAGCGGUGCACUUGUUAGUUUUCCUCCUCGUCGAAGCACCAUCCCUCAUUCUUAACCCUCCUUUCUCUCUCACAAAUUCUGACCGGCAUAGACUGCGAAAU